GCGCUUCAGCCUAGGAUGUCGUAAGCGGGCGAGGAGCAGCCCAUGGAGACGACGGGCGCCACCGAGAACGGACACGAGGCCGCCCCCGAAGGCGAGUCGCCGGCCGGGGCUGGCGCGGGCGCCUCGGCAUGGGCCGGAGGCGCGACCGUGGCGCCCCCGAGCGGGAAUCAGAACGGUGCCGAGGGCGACCAGAUCAACGCCAGCAAGAACGAGGAAGAUGCGGGAAAAAUGUUCGUUGGUGGCCUAAGCUGGGAUACCAGCAAAAAGAUUUAAAAGACUAUUUUACUAAAUGUGGAGAGGUGGUUGACUGUACAAUAAAAAUGGAUCCCAACACUGGACGGUCAAGAGGGUUUGGGUUUAUCUUGUUCAAAGAUGCGGCCAGUGUGGAGAAGGUUCUAGACCAGAAGGAGCACAGGUUGGAUGGCCAUGUCAUUGACCCUAAAAAGGCCAUGGCUAUGAAGAAGGACCCGGUGAAGAAAAUCUUUGUCAGGGGUCUGAAUCCUGAAGCCACUGAGGAAAAGAUCAGGGAGUACUUCGGCGAUUUUGGGGAGAUUGAGGCCAUUGAACUUCCAAUGGAUCCUAAGUUGAACAAAAGACGAGGUUUUGUGUUUAUCACCUUUAAAGAAGAAGAACCUGUAAAGAAGGUUCUGGAGAAAAAGUUUCAUACUAUCAGUGGAAGCAAGUGUGAGAUCAAGGUGACCCAGCCUAAAGAAGUUUAUCAGCAGCAGCAGUAUGGCUCUAGGGGCCGUGGAAACCGCAACCGAGGGAACUGAGGCAGCGGAGGCGGUGGUGGAGAUGGAGGUCAGAGUCAGAGUUGGAAUCUGGGCUGCGGCUACCAGCAGGGCUACGGGCCUGGCUAUGGCGGCUGCGGCUACUCGCCCUAUGGCUAUUACGGCUACGCCCCGGCUACAGUCAGGGUAGUACAAACUACAGCAAGAGCCAGCGACGUGGUGGCCAUCAGAAUAACUACAAGCCAUACUGAGGCGACAGCAGGAGCGACCAACUGACUGCACACAUGCUUUGUUUGAAUAUGGAGUGAACACAAUUAUGUACCAAAUUUAACUUGACAAACUUUCUGUGGCCUGUCCCAUGUGCAUCUUAUUUAAAAUUUCCCCCAGGGAAAUCACUCUCCUGUUUACUAUUUCCAGAGCGCUAGCUGUUUAGGCAGGGUGUGGUGUCUGAGAGGCCACAGUGGCAUUAUGGGCUGAUUUCUAUUACCAGGUCCCCCAGAACCAGAUGGGAGGCUCUGCUUCCUGCUGCUGCUCUGCAGCCUGGACCUGUGGACCCUGGUUGUAAAGAGCAAAUUGUAUCUUAGGAAACCAGUGUCACCUUUUUUUCACCUUUUAAUUUUAUAUUAUUUGUGUCAUACAUUUCCUGUAAUGGAAGUGUUAAUUUUACUGUACUUUUUGGUACCUUUUGGGAAUCUAAUGUAUUGUAAGGUAUUUUACACGUGUCCUGAUUUUGCCACAACCUGGAUAUUAAAGCUAUCCAAGCUUUUGAAAUAAAAAUUUAAACCUCCC